UACGAAGGGUGCAAACGUUGCUCGGAAUCAUUGGGCGUAAAGCGCACGUAGGCGGCCCCAAAAGUUGGAUGUGAAAUCCCUCGGCUCAACCGAGGACGUGCAUCCAAAACUGUGGGGCUUGAGUACUGAAGAGGAUCGCGGAAUUCCCGGUGUAGAGGUGAAAUUCGUAGAUAUCGGGAGGAACACCAGUGGCGAAGGCGGCGAUCUGGGCAGAUACUGACGCUGAGGUGCGAAAGCGUGGGGAGCAAGCAGG
rnacentral:rRNA from 1 species